UUGUUUUUAGCUACCAUCAAUGUUGGUUGUUGCCAUUGCUUUUGCUCUACUUGUUGUAGCCCUAGACACACCAAUAUUAUAUUUCUUACAGAAUUUGUUGUGCAAAUUUUUCAUUUUCAUAUCAGGAUUUGCUUUCAUGCUCUUCUCCAACCUGUCACUUAACCAUUUAGAGGUAACUAGACCAAUUUUGAAUUCUCUAGUACAAGUAUGCCUGUCCAAUAUCUUUCUUAGCUGUCAUGUACGUUGGGUACUCUUAUAUCCAUAAUAAGCGUACCAGGGACAUUUUCCUUGUGAGCCAUAACAUUUCACGCAAAUUCUUCUCUUAUCAUUCUUCCAAAGCUUCAACUUUCUACCAUUGUGUACUCCAUAACUUCUAAUUGCAUCAAUGAAAUCAUUUUUUUCAGGGAAAUAUGUACCAAGUUGCCAUCUAUAUUCUUUCAUACUUGUGGGCUCUUUGAAGGUUGCAAAAUCUCCAUAUCUAGAUGUUUCAACAUCUGAAUCAUCACUUAAAUAUAUACUAUCACAACUAUCAGAUUCCCACUCACUAUCAGAUAAUCCCCUUGCCUGUACAUGCUUGUUUCGAGUAGUACAUUCCCUUGUUGUUCCCCCUAGCCAGUCCUUUUCCUCUUCCUCUUCUUGGGUUUCUUCAUCUCCAUGCACACUUACAUCCACCAAAUCAUCUUCAUCAGAUGCAUUCCAACUACUACCAUCAACCUCAUCCUGACCAUCCCCUACUCAACCACAAAUAUUAUCCUC
rnacentral:lncRNA from 1 species